GCGGUGCCAAGGUAGGGGCUAUUGUUGCCCUCCGAAGGCAAAGGUCGUACGUUCGAAUCGUAUCGGGUGCGCCA
rnacentral:tRNA from 1 species